AUCACCUACAGUUGUCCUAUCAUUCACUUGAACCAUACAGUAAGGCUGUGGGAUUUGAAGUUUACCGGGAUAAACACAAACUUCACCGCUUGGCUCAUCUCUGUAAAAAAUUAAAUGGAUGAUGAUAAAGAAAAAUAAAAUAAUUACCGUCAUGCCACACCACUCGCAUCGGAAUCCAGAUAGGCACUCUGUGGAACAACUCUUUCUACAUAGAGUACAUUUUGAACCAGUAGGGAGGUUUCCUUCACGCCAGUGAUGCGUAUGUUUCACUGACCUCAAGUCUUUUUCCGGCAGUGUAAAGACUGAGAUGUAUCAUCGAGACGUUUUCGACAAACAUUGCAAAAUUUUUUCUUCUGGUGUACCGGCUGUUCAGACCAGCAAUGUGCAACCGGGUUCUGCAACAAAUAGAAUUGAUUGAAAAUAUGAAAUGAGUAUUGACAAAAAAGAGAUAAAUACCUUGAUGAGGCUUGCCGCGAUGCUGGAGCAGGGAGACACGACGGUCCCGAGACAGCGAUCAUGCACUACGAAGUUACAAACUGCAAGUAAAAAAUAUUAUAUCAGUUCUAUUGAGUUAGUAGGACAAAAGUAUGCUUAAAGAACUAUAAGGAAGAAGGAGUUUGAAUUGGAGUUGAUGCAAUUCUCUUCAAGUGGAUGAAGCAUUUCAUUUAAAUCAUGAGUUAAUGUAAAAUCUAAAUCGAACAAUCGAUUAAUGUUAAUAUGAAACUCAUGAAUAGACAUAUGAAUAUAAAGCAACGACAACAUUUGUGGCAUAUGUUUAUUCUUUCUAUUUAUUUCUUCUCUCUUGCAUGUACUCAUUGCAAAUCCGAAUAAAAUUUUAUCAUAACGUCGCUCUAUUUUUCGAACAAUAGCACUCAUUGGAUGACAACACGCAACUUCGUGACGUUCAUAUAUACCACUAAGAGGUUUAUACGUUUCCGGUAAACUUUAAAAUAAACCAUGCUUCGAAGCCACGCACUUUUUUUCCUGUCAGUUAUUCUAGCAACUUUUCAGCUGCAUAAAUCUGUUG